rnacentral:sRNA from 1 species
GUCAACCAUCCCGCCCUUUAGGGCGGGGCUUGCGGGUAAGCGCAGGCUCAGGUUGACCAGGGAAAGCGCUACCUAGUCCGCUACGUUGCAUGGAGAGCAAAAGACCGACGUUGGGAUGCUUCCUAAAGUCCCAACCUCUCGAAGCCAGAGUUGCAGCCGACCACAAGAGCAAGGGAGCUGGCGGACUCCGGCAUACGGCAGGCAUGCAACAUUCCCGAGGGGAGACGCCCCGCAAGGAG